GACGAACGCUGGCGGCGUGCCUAAUACAUGCAAGUCGAACGCAGUGGGGACGGGUGAGUAACACGUGGGUAACCUCCCCAUCAGAGGGGAUAAAACUUGGAAACAGGUGCUAAACCGAUACUGAUGGAUGGACCCGCGGUGCAUUAGCUAUUGGGUGAGGUAACGGCUCACCAAGGCCCCGAUGCAUAGCCGACCUUAGGUGGUGAUGGGCCACACUGGGACUGCGCAACGGCCAAGACUCCUACGGGAGGCAGCAGUAGGGAAUCUUCGGCAAUGGACGAAAGUCUGACGUAGCAACGCCGCGUUAGUGAAGAAGGUUUUCGGAUCAUAAAACUCUGUUGUUAGAGAAGCGGUAUCUAACCAGAAAGCCACGGCUAACUACGUGCCAGCAGCCGCGGUAAUUC
rnacentral:rRNA from 1 species